GGGCUUGUAGUCUAGUGGUAGGACAUUGCCCUCACACGGCAAAAACGGGAGUUCGAUUCUCCUCGAGCCCA
rnacentral:tRNA from 1 species